rnacentral:rRNA from 1 species
CUAGCGACUUCAGAGUUUGAUCCUGGCUCAGGAUGAACGCUGGCGGCGUGCCUAACACAUGCAAGUCGAACGAAACUGAUUCCAUGAAACUUCGGUAGAUUGGAUGAAAGUUGAGUGGCGGACGGGUGAGUAACACGUGGGCAACCUGCCUCACAGAGGGGGAUAGCAGUUGGAAACGACUGAUAAUACCGCAUAAGCACACAGUACCGCAUGGUACAGGGUGAAAAGAUUUAUCACUGUGAGAUGGACCCGCGUCUGAUUAGCCAGUUGGCAGGGUAACGGCCUACCAAAGCGACGAUCAGUAGCCGACCUGAGAGGGUGAUCGGCCACAUUGGGACUGAGACACGGCCCAA